CCCUUAGAUGUUCUGGGCCGCACGCGCGCUACACUGACGCAUUCAACGAGUGUACCUUGGCCGAGAGGCCUGGGCAAUCUUUUGAACGUGCAUCGUGAUAGGGAUAGAUUAUUGCAAUUAUUAAUCUUGAACGAGGAAUUCCUAGUAAACGCAGAUCAUCAAUCUGCAUUGAUUACGUCCCUGCCCUUUGUACACACCGCCCGUCGCACCUACCGAUUGGAUGGUCCGGUGAAGCCUCGGGAUUGUGACUGUUGCCUUUAUUGGUGUCGGUUGCGAGAACUUGUCUAAACCUUAUCAUCUAGAGGAAGGUGAAGUCGUAACA
rnacentral:rRNA from 1 species